rnacentral:lncRNA from 1 species
UCAUUAUUCAUUAGGGUUCUGUUCUUUCUGUUCUGAUUUCCCCGCCUCCACCCCUCUCGUUCUAUCUUUCCGCCUCCCUCCCUUGCACCGGCACCUCCCACCGGCACCGGCGCCGCUGCCUAUCCCACCGGCACCGGUGCCUCCCUCCCUUUCUCCACUGACGCUCUCCUAGUCCCAGCAGGCAGUAGCAGCACAACCUUUCUCCCAGUCCCAGCUCGCCGGCGCUCGCCCUGCCUCUUCCACCGGCAGGAUAUCUUUCAUCCCUCCGCCAGCGUUGCUUUGUCGGCGUCUCUCACUCUGCAGGCGUCGCCCCCUCUACCAGGCAGAGUGAAAAAAAAAGGCGUCGCCCCCUCCGCCAGCGUCGCUCCUUCCGUCAGCGUCUCCCUCCGCUUCUCAACCUCGACGAGUUGUGCAUUCAGAUUCAGGUAUGAAUUAUGAUUAUAGUGUCAUGGAGUUAGACAGUUAGUAUAUAUCGAUUGGAUAAAGUUUCACUGUUUCAUUGCAAUUGUAUGCUUAUGUUGAGAGAAGGGCGUG